CCGGCGCACGGGUGAGUAACACGUAUGCAAUCCACCUGUAAGAGGGGAGUAACCCGGCGAAAGUCGGACUAAUACCGCAUGAAGCAGGGGCCCCGCAUGGGGAUAUUUGCUAAAGAUUCAUCGCUGAUAGAUAGGCAUGCGUUCCAUUAGGCAGUUGGCGGGGUAACGGCCCACCAAACCGACGAUGGAUAGGGGUUCUGAGAGGAAGGUCCCCCACAUUGGUACUGAGACACGGACCAA
rnacentral:rRNA from 1 species